rnacentral:rRNA from 1 species
GACUAAGCCAUGCAUGCUUUCGAUAAGAGGAAGCAAUUCUCUCUGAAUCUGCGAACGGCUCCGCAAACCAGUUGUAAACUAUAGCAAGCACGCUCAGGCUUGGCCGCAAGGCUGGGUCGGGGCAACAUGGAUAACCCUGGUAAUUCUGAGGCUAAUACAAGAACGUAACUCUCGGCUGACCUUCACGGGAAGGCCGGGGGAUGUGUGUACGAUACGCGAAGACUAACCGAGAAAGGGCACACGUCAGGACCGCGCUACAAAGGACAUGGUGGACACCAGCCUCACGGCUGGCCGAAGCCUUGCCCCAGCGGCUCUUGCUGUGUGCUUCUGACCUAUCAACAAGUCGGCAGCGUAACGGACAUGCCAUGGUGACAACGGGUACAGAGGAUUAGGGUUCGAUCCUGGAGAGUGGGCCUGAGAGAUUGCUCAUACUUCUAAGGAAGGCAGCAGGCGCGCAACGUUCCCCUUGGGCAAUGCUUGAGGGCGUUAGGGGACAUAUGAAUGCCUGCCAAUACGGUGGGCAAUUCAAAUGGGUCUGUUCUAAACAGCCUCUCGAGUAACAAUUAGAGGACAAGUCUGGUGCCAGCACCCGCGGUAAUUCCAGCUCUAGUAGCAUACGUUAAAGUUGUUGCAGUUAAAACGCUCGUAGUCGGCUCCAGACCAUCAGAAGCCCAAUCCGGAACGCUGGGUCCGCUGCUCUCCGGAGCGCGCCAGCAGACGGGAGAAGGCGGGCGGUGGUCAAGUGCGCUUCAGGUCUUCCCUCGCCUCCGGGCUUGGGUAAAGGGGUCAGGGCAGUGGUCUCGGCUGCUGCUCUGGUCCGGCUUGGGGUGCCACUUACUAUGAUUAAACUGAGGUGAUUAAAGCAGGUCGUCAGACCCGCACAGAGUAGCAUAGCAUAACACGUACCAGCCGUGGCCUUGUCGUGAGGGCUGCGGCUGGUAGAAGAGAUAGGGGUGCUCGAGGGUGACCGAAUUGCUGGGCGAGUGGUGAAAUACGUUGACCCUAGCAAGUCGACCAAAGGCGUAAGCAGUCAUCAAGAGCACGCUCCUUGAUCAAGAGCGAAAGUUAAGGGUUCGAAGACGAUCAGAUACCGUCGUAGUCUUAACUAUAAACGAUACUGACCAGGGAUAGGACACUGUCCAUCUCGACUCCUUCUGGACCUCGGAGAAAUCACGAGUCUUGAGUCCGGGGGAGAGGC